CAACAGCGUAUAUUAAAGUUGUUGCGGUUAAAAAGCUCGUAGUUGGAUUUCUGCUGAGGACGACCGGUCCGCCCUCUGGGUGAGCAUCUGGUUCGGCUUGGGCAUCUUUCUGGAGAGCGUUGCUGCACUUGACUGUGUGGUGCGAUAUCCAGGACAUUUACUUUGAGGAAAUUAGAGUGUUUCAAGCAGGCACACGCCUUGAAUACAUUAGCAUGGAAUAAUAAUCUAGGACCCUAGUUCUUAUUUUGUUGGUUUCUAGAGCUGAGGUAAUGAUUAAUAGGGAUAGUUGGGGGCAUACGAAUUUAAUUGUCAGAGGUGAAAUUCUUGGAUUUGUUAAAGACGGACUACUGUGAAAGCAUUUGCCAAGAAUGUUUUCAUUGAUCAAGAAUGAAAGUUAGGGGGUCGAAGAUGAUUAGAUACCAU
rnacentral:rRNA from 1 species